rnacentral:rRNA from 1 species
UACGUAGGGUGCGAGCGUUAUCCGGAAUUAUUGGGCGUAAAGAGCUCGUAGGCGGUUUGUCGCGUCUGUCGUGAAAGUCCGGGGCUUAACCCCGGAUCUGCGGUGGGUACGGGCAGACUAGAGUGCAGUAGGGGAGACUGGAAUUCCUGGUGUAGCGGUGGAAUGCGCAGAUAUCAGGAGGAACACCGAUGGCGAAGGCAGGUCUCUGGGCUGUAACUGACGCUGAGGAGCGAAAGCAUGGGGAG